UCAAGCUGAAAAGAGCGCAAGGGGAAUGCCUUGGCAUCAGGAGCCGACGAAGGACGUGACAAGCUGCGAUAAGCCACGGGGAGGAGCAAAUAUCCGUUAUAUCCGUGGAUUUCCGAAUGGGGGAACCCGCUCAAGCAAUACUUGAGCAUCGUGCGUUGAAUCAAAUAGGCGUACGAAGGGAACGGCCUGAACUGAAACAUCUAAGUAGGGCCAGGAAAAGACAUCAACCGAGAUUCCGCUAGUAGUGGCGAGCGAACGCGGAGGAGGCCAAACCGAGGGACGCAAGUUCUUCGGGGUUGCGGACAGACAUCAUGACCAGAGGAAGUUAGGAGAACGGCGUGGGAAAGCCGGCCAUAGAAGGUGAGAGCCCUGUAUCUGAAAAUGAAGACUGGCAGUCUGGAUCCAGAGUACCGCGGGACACGUGAAACCCCGUGGGAAACAGGGGGGACCACCCUCCAAGCCUAAAUACUACCUGAUGACCGAUAGAGGAGCAGUACCGUGAGGGAAAGGUGAAAAGGACCCCGGGAGGGGAGUGAAAGAGAACCUGAAACCUUGUGCCUACAAGCACAUAGAGCCCGUCAAAGGGUGAUAUGGUACUUUUUGUAGAACGGUCCGGCGAGCGAUUGUACGUUGCGAGCUUAAGGUCUUAAGGACUGGAGGCGUAGCGAGAGCGAGUCUAAACAGGGCGUUUAGUAGCGUGCAAUGGGCCCGAAACCGGGUGACCUACCCAUGAUCAGGCUGAAGUGAAAGUAAAAUUUCAUGGAGGGCCGAACCGACCUCCGUUGAAAAGGCGGCGGAUGAAUUGUGGGUAGCGGAGAAAUUCCAAUCGAACUCGGAGAUAGCUGGUUCUCCCCGAAAUAGCUUUAGGGCUAGCCUCAUGUUAGAUAUCCGGAGGUAAAGCACUGAAUGGCCUAGCGUCCGAGAGGAUAGCGAAGCCUAUCAAACUAAGAAUGCCGGAAUAUUGAUGCAUGGGAGUCAGACAGUGUGAGAUAAAUCUCAUUGUCAAAAGGGAAACAGCCCAGAUCUACAGCUAAGGUCCCAAAUUGUAUCUAAGUGGAAAACGAUGUGGAAAUACGCAGACAACCAGGAUGUUGGCUCAGAAGCAGCCACUCAUUUAAAGAGUGCGUAAUAGCUCACUGGUCGAGCGUCUCUGCGCGGAAAAUUUAACGGGGCUAAGAUACAAACCGAAGCUUAGGCUGCACUUUUAGUGCGGGGUAGGGGAGCGUUGUGUAAGCGGAGAAACAGUAGCGAAAGCGGCUGUGGAGUUUACAGAAGUGAGAAUGCCGGAAUGAGUAGCGCGAAUGAUGUGAGAAUCAUCAUGGCCGGAAACCUCAGGUUUUUGGAGGAAGGUUCGUCCGCUCCAAGUUAGGCGGGAGCUAAGGUGAGGCCGAAAGGCGUAGCCGAUGCACAGACGGUAGAGAUUCCGUCACCACCAAAAGAGUUAAGCACAGGGACACAUUUGAAGUCUCAGAGCCGGGUGUUGGUUCCGGUAGAGAUCGAGGGAAGUUAGUACCGAAGUCUGGGAUGGAAGAUGGCGAGAAAAGCUGUGUGUAUUUCUGAGGUGCCCGUACCGCAAACCGACACAGGUAGGUAGGAAGAAGAUUCUAAGGCCAACGGGAGAAGGGUUGUUAAGGAACUCGGCAAAUUGACCCCGUAACUUCGGGAGAAGGGGUGCUCCAGAGAUGGAGCCGCAGAGAAUCGGCCCAAGCAACUGUUUACCAAAAACACAGGUUUGUGCUAAAUCGAAAGAUGACGUAUACGAGCUGACGCCUGCCCGGUGCUGGAAGGUUAAGAGGAGAUGUGCAAGCAUUGAAUCGAAGCCCCAGUGAACGGCGGCCGUAACUAUAACGGUCCUAAGGUAGCGAAAUUCCUUGUCAGGUAAG
rnacentral:rRNA from 1 species